rnacentral:misc_RNA from 1 species
GGCUUAAGCCACGAUAACGACGUGCAUUUAGAAAUGAUGUGCAUAUUCAUGCAGCUAUAUAUCGAUGUUUCAGAAGAAUUAUGAAAAAGGAGUGUAUGAAUAUUAGUAUGGAGAUAGACGAGUUGGAAAAGCUUUAGAAGUCUCUUUCAUGAAUCGAUCUGAUAUUCUAGUUUAGAGUUGACUGUCUGGAGAACUGAGAAGAACAUAUUCAUCGCGUUGCUCUUCGUGGAACGUGCAACUAUUUGUGAAUACCGAAAGUAAGGUACUUUGGAGCAAAAGAUUAUUAUUAUUACUAUACAGAGGCGAUCAAGGAUUUUCAACAGCUUCCACGAUUUUCCCUCAUUGUGGUCUGUUCAGUCUGACAGCAAUAUAAAACCAAAGCAAAGCCAAAUAGCAAUGAAGGGGACGGUCGAUAUUAACAACAUUGAUCGGUUCUUCGGUCCGUGCAAGUCCACCAACUCUCCUUCACUCUGUCAACGUUAUUCAAACACGCUUCCAGCCAAUUCUCUAGUUGUCCUCCAUCUCUGACUUUUCAAUAUCAAAUUACCAUUACUAAUUAUAAUCUAUGAACGAAUCAAAGUCGACGACGAUCCCCGCGAAAGUCAAUGCUAAAAAUAUCGAUGGAUCGUUAGCUUACUUUCAGAAAUUUUCCAACGUCGUUGGUAAAUUGCGGAAAAUCCUGCAAACACGAACGUAAGUGGAAAAUCCACGGCAGCAGAACGGGCCACGCUAGCGAAUAAGCUGUCAGGCGUGAAGUAUCGGUCGGAACGCGAAAGACGAUCCUUGACUGAAAGCAAGGAAUCGAUCCGAUCACGACUGUUCGAUCGGAAAGACUGACUGACUAUCGGCUCUUGGUCUCGCACGACCGGCCGCUCGAGGAACACGGUUGAGUGUAUAAACGCGUACUAACCGGUGAACCCACGGUGGUGACUAUUAUCGCGCACGAUGCAAAAGCGACGCACCAACGUCCUCCUCCUGAAGGCGAAAGAGUGCUGGCUGUACGUGGAAGGAGAGAAGGGACAACGACGACGACAAAAGCCGGCUGUGAGAGGCUAGGGAGUCCCCAGGGAAACCAGCCACCGCAUUGGACGGUAGGCGGGAUCGCACACUAACGAGUACACCCACCUUCCGGCUAUCUAUCGCACCUAUUUAACCUUUCAUUCAUUUUCUGCACAGGCUAAUAUACCUGAGACCUCUUGCGAGGACAAUCGGUAACUUGGUCAUUAAGUAUUUGCAGCUCGAGUCAGUGGAGGGGUCGUUGAUAGAUUUGCCGAUGGGGUGGUUCGUUUCCGAGAAUCGA